CGAACGGGUGAGUAACACGUGAGCAACCUGCCCCGAAGACCGGGAUAGCCCGAGGAAACUCGGAUUAAUACCGGAUGCCUUCACACUUCCGCAUGGCGGAGUGAAGAAAUGCCUUUGUGCUUCGGGAUGGGCUCGCGGCCUAUCAGCUAGUUGGUGAGGUAAAGGCUCACCAAGGCGUCGACGGGUAGCUGGUCUGAAAGGACGAUCAGCCACACUGGAACUGAGACACGGUCCAG
rnacentral:rRNA from 1 species